CGUUGGAUCAGUUCCGUCUAUCAUAACAAGAUUUCUUUUAUAUGAUCACAUAUUCAUGAAAUAAAAAAUUAGAGACGCGUCAACGGAUGUCUCGGCUGUCUGCACGAUGAAGAACGUUGCAUAAUGUGAUAAGUGACCAGAGUAGCACACAUCGUGACAGGUUUAAUCUUUGAAUGCAUAUUGCCCUCAUUAGAGGAUUGAUGCUUGUGUUGCCUUUUUAAUCGAAAGUUUGCUUUUUAAGCGAAGAAAUGAUGAUAAACAAAUAGGGCACACAGGUCUCAAGGAAUACCCGCUGAACUGAAGCAUCUCAAUAAGCGGAGGAAAAGAAACUAACUAGGAUUCCCCCAGUAAAGGCGAUCGAAGAGGGAAUAGCUCUAAUUCUAACCCUUCGGGGGAUGUGAAUUUGCAUUUUGAGGGCGCGCAAAGUCGGCACGAACGCCGCGUCAUAGAGAGUUUAAACCUCGUUGGCGGCCCAUACAUGCAAGAGUGAGUAGGGUAGCUUGAGAUUGCUGCCUGAAUCGGUGGUAUCACACAUCUAAGGCUUAAUAUUGCAGGCAGUCCGAUAGCGCAUAAGUAGUGUGAACGAACGAUGAAAAGUACUCCAAAGCGGAGUGUGCAAAGUUCCUGAACUUGUCGCGUCUAAGGCCACUUGUGGCGCCCGUCUUGAAACACGGAUUAGGGAGUCUUUCUCAUUUUUGAAGGGGACAGAUAACACGACUGCGAAAGCGGCAUCAGAGAAGAUGAGAUAGAACCCGAAAGGUGGUGAACUAUGCCAGCACAGGAUGAAGUCAGGGGAAACCCUGAUGGAGGUCCGUCGCGUUAUUGAUGUGCAAAUCAUUCGUCAGAUGUUGGUAUAGGUGCGAAAGACUCAUCGAACCACCUAAUAGCUGGUUUCCCC
rnacentral:misc_RNA from 1 species